UGGGGAAUAUUGUACAAUGGAGGGAACUCUGAUGCAGCGACGCCGCGUGAACGAAGAAGGCUUUCGAGUCGUAAAGUUCUUUUAUAUGGGAAGAUAAUGACGGUACCAUAAGAAAAAGCCCCGGCUAACUACGUGCCAGCAGCCGCGGUAAUACGUAGGGGGCUAGCGUUGUCCGGAAUCACUGGGCGUAAAGGGUUCGCAGGCGGAAAUGCAAGUCAGGUGUAAAAGGCAGUAGCUUAACUACUGUAAGCAUUUGAAACUGCAUAUCUUGAGAAGAGUAGAGGUAAGUGGAAUUUUUAGUGUAGCGGUGAAAUGCGUAGAUAUUAAAAAGAAUACCGGUGACGAAGGCGACUUACUGGGCUCAUUCUGACGCUGAGGAACGAAAGCGUGGGUAGCAAACAGG
rnacentral:rRNA from 1 species